rnacentral:rRNA from 1 species
UACGGAGGGUGCAAGCGUUAUCCGGAUUCACUGGGCUUAAAGGGCGCGUAGGCGGCCAGGUAAGUCAGUGGUGAAAUCUCCGAGCUUAACUCGGAAACUGCCUUUGAUACUCUCUGUCUUGAAUAUGGUGGAGGUAAGCGGAAUAUGUCAUGUAGCGGUGAAAUGCUUAGAGAUGACAUAGAACACCUAUUGCGAAGGCAGCUUACUACGCCUAUAUUGACGCUGAGGCACGAAAGCGUGGGGAGCAAACAGG